rnacentral:rRNA from 1 species
UACGUAGGGUGCAAGCGUUGUCCGGAAUUACUGGGCGUAAAGAGUUCGUAGGCGGUUUGUCGCGUCGUUUGUGAAAACUCACAGCUCAACUGUGAGCCUGCAGGCGAUACGGGCAGACUUGAGUACUGCAGGGGAGACUGGAAUUCCUGGUGUAGAGGUGAAAUGCGCAGAUAUCAGGAGGAACACCGGUGGCGAAGGCGGGUAUCUGGGCAGUAACUGACGCUGAGGAACGAAAGCGUGGGUAGCAAACAGG